AGCUCCCAGGGUUGGGAGAGCUCCUGGUCGAUCGGGGAGUCGCUAUCGCGGGGUCUACCAGCACGUGAUUGAUGACCGCUUGGCUGCCGAUCGAUUUGAUCGUCGGUGGUUGCUUCCCCUUGUGGGCCUUGAGUCGCAGGUCGGUUUGUUGCCGUUUUGACCGGGGUCUCAGCCUCUUCUUCUUUCUUGUUGUGGCGAUCAGGAAUGCGAUUGGAUUGGAAUUAGGUUGAGGCGGCGGCAUGGCUGGGCAGGAAAAGCGGUUGUCGCCGCCAACGCCGGGCGGGCAACGGCGAGCACAGCGCCAAGAAGGAGAGGGCGCAGGCCUGGUGCCCGUGGUGAAGCAGAAGCCGCGACAGGAGGUAGCAGCAAUGGAGCGCUAGGAAAGGGAGGUGGUGGGUUCGCUUCGCCUGGUUGUGACCUCCCGCAUCAGCGCCAUCUGAGCUGUGUCGGUGCGGGCGGAUCUUGGGCGCCGCCGCUGUGUGGCCGGUUGUGUUCUCUGGGUGGCUGCUUCCCUGCUCUGGGAUUGCUCAGUGAGGAGGAAGAAAUGCCAAAACGAAGCUUGGCGUCUCUCAUUCUUGAAGGUGGAAUCUCUCGAGACUAUUGAUUCCUUCAUGUCUUUUACAUGAUCACAUAAGGAGAUUAAUUGUGAAAGUUUUAAAAAAAAGGAGAUUAAUUGUAAUAUUUGGGUCACAUUGUGUGUGCCUUAAAGACAGAAUCAUAAACACUUUGUACACAUAAGGAUUUCUUAUGGUGAGCUGAUAGUUUUGAUCAUGUUAUGUCUUGAAAUGUUUAUGUUGGAUUGUUGGAUAUUCAGGCAUGUUAAAAUGUCUAUCAGAUCAGCACUAUAUGAUAUGAUUGGUCA